AUUGAACGCUGGCGGCAGGCCUAACACAUGCAAGUCGAACGAGUGGCGGACGGGUGAGUAAUGUCUGGGAAACUGCCUGAUGGAGGGGGAUAACUACUGGAAACGGUAGCUAAUACAGCAUACCAUCGGAUGUGCCCAGAUGGGAGUAGCGAGUAGGUGGGGUAAAGGCGCAUCUAGUCGAAGAUCCCUAGCUGGUCUGCGAGGAUGACCAGCCACACUUGAACUGAGACACGGUCCAGACUCCUACGGGAGGCAGCAGUGGGGAAUAAUACGCAAUGGGCGCAAGCCUGAUGCAGCCAUGCCGCGUGUAUGAAGAAGGCCUUCGGGUUGUAAAGUACUUUCAGCGGGGAGGCGUUACCCGCAGAAGAAGCACCGGCUAACUCCGUGCCAGCAGCCGCGGUAAUAC
rnacentral:rRNA from 1 species